rnacentral:rRNA from 1 species
UACGUAGGGGGCAAGCGUUGUCCGGAUUUAUUGGGCGUAAAGAGCGUGUAGGCGGCUUCACAGGUCCGCUGUGAAAACUCGAGGCUCAACCUCGAGACGUCGGUUGAAACCACUUGGCUAGAGUCCGGAGGAGGAGAGUGGAAUUCCUGGUGUAGCGGUGAAAUGCGCAGAUAUCAGGAAGAACACCCGUGGCGAAGGCGGCUCUCUGGGACGGUACUGACGCUGAGACGCGAAAGCGUGGGGAGCGAACAGG